UUGGUUGCUUCUCGAACACUUUUUUCCUCGUUAAAAAAAAUUGCUUUUCAACUUGAAGAACAAAAGAGACAUAAAAUUAUCUCCAUUAAGAUGAAAUACAAAUGCAUGAUUUGCUAAUGGUGGAACAUGUUUUGGAGGGAAAAGGCGAGGAGUGGCUAUAAAUCAGGAUUCAGGAACGACCCAGAAGGAGUAUUACAUAAGAAGCUAUCAGUUGAUUUGUGAUUUGAUCUACAACUUGAUCUCCUCACUGGUGAUGAGAGGCUUCUGCAGCCGGUUUCUGCUUGCUAUACUGCUUGUUGUUCUUGUGUUCUGAGUUCCGUGAGGAGCUAGAGACUUGGGUACCUUUACAGACUACAACAUUCAGGACGAGAACGAAGAAAUAAAAGGUAUCACUCACAAGCUCAAUAGUUCAAUUAAUGCUUCGACUGUAUGCAAGUCCAUUAUCAUGUUCUGUCAACUUGCACUUGAGGAUUAUUACUUUUUCCUUUGUGCUGCAUUUUUUAAAGUCAAUUUAAAGCUUACGAGCAAGUAAAAU